rnacentral:rRNA from 1 species
UACGAAGGGGGCUAGCGUUGCUCGGAAUCACUGGGCGUAAAGGGUGCGUAGGCGGGUCUUUAAGUCAGGGGUGAAAUCCUGGAGCUCAACUCCAGAACUGCCUUUGAUACUGAAGAUCUUGAGUUCGGGAGAGGUGAGUGGAACUGCGAGUGUAGGGGUGAAAUUCGUAGAUAUUCGCAAGAACACCAGUGGCGAAGGUGGCUCACUGGCCCGAUACUGACGCUGAGGCACGAAAGCGUGGGGAGCAAACAGG